rnacentral:misc_RNA from 1 species
GAUGAAGAACGUAGUGAAAUGCGAUAAGUAGUGUGAAUUGCAGAAUUCAGUGAAUCAUCGAAUCUUUGAACGCACAUUGCGCCCCUUGGUAUUCCAUGGGGCAUGCCUGUUCGAGCGUCAUUUGUACCUUCAAGCUUUGCUUGGUGUUGGGUGUUUGUCCAUUCUCUUGCAGAGGGACUCGCCUUAAAGUAAUUGGCAGCCAGUGUUUUGGUUUUGAAGCGCAGCACAAGUCGCGAUUCAACGCUAUACGCCAGCUUCCACAAGCCUUUUUCACUUUUGACCUCGGAUCAGGUAGGGAUACCCGCUGAACUUAAGCAUAUCAAUAACGGAGGA